UUGAGUAUCAACCUAUGAACCAGAAGGUCACCGUUCAAUUCCAGUCAAGGGCACAUGCCCAGGUUGCAGGCUCAGUCCACAGUAGGUGGUAUGCAGAAGGCUGCCAAACAAUGAUUAUCUGUCAUCAUUGAUGUUGCUCUCUCUCUCUCUCCCUCUCCCUUCCUCUCUGAAAUCAAUAAAAACAUACU